GCCUCCGUAGCUCAAUGGAUAGAGUAAUGGACUUCGAAUCCAGUGGUUGCGUGUUCGAGUCACGCCGGAGGCG
rnacentral:tRNA from 1 species